rnacentral:rRNA from 1 species
UUUGUUACUUCAAACCAAUCGGACUUCGGUCUGACAUCAAGUGAUAUUGAACAAUUUAGCUGAUCGCACGGUCUAAGAACCGGCGGCAUAUCCUUCAAAUGUCUGCCUUAUCAACUUUCGAUGGUAGAUUAUGCGCCUACCAUGGUUGUAACGGGUAACGGAGAAUCAGGGUUUGAUUCCGGAGAGGGAGCCUGAGAAACGGCUACCACAUCCAAGGAAGGCAGCAGGCACGCAAAUUACCCACUCCCGGCACGGGGAGGUAGUGACGAAAAAUAACAAGCUGGUCUCAAUGAGUUCCAGCAUUGUAAUGGGAACAAUUUAAAUCUUUUAUCGAGGAUCUAUUGGAGGGCAAGUCUGGUGCCAGCAGCCGCGGUAAUUCCAGCUCCAAUAGCGUAUAUUAAAGUUGUUGCGGUUAAAAAGCUCGUAGUUGGAUCUAGGAUUAGGGCUACSGUCGUUCAGCUUGGACGUACUGUAUGCCCGACUCCUUUUCUCUAGUAUUCGAUUGUUGCUCUUAAAUGAGUGACUUUAGUUGCUGGAACUUUUACCUUGAAAAAAUUGRAGUGCUSAAAGCAGGUU